CGGAAGCCUGCAGCCGGGCGGCUCUUCCUGCGGGCCGGGCCGGGCCGGGAUGGGGGAGAGCACCAGCCCCAUCAGCGUUAUCCUGGUGAGCUCGGGCAGCCGCGGCAACAAGCUGCUGUUCCGCUUCCCCUUCCAGCGCGGCGCCGAGCACCCCGCCGCACAGGCCAAUAAACCAAGGAGUCGAUAUGCUGUGAAUAGCUCUGGUGACACCACAGAAGAUCAAGAUGGGGACUCCAGGUUUUCGGAUGUCAUCCUGGCGACAAUUUUGGCUACCAAGUCAGAUAUGUGUGGCAAAAAGUUUGAACUGAAGAUUGACAAUGUUCGCUUUGUUGGCCAUCCCACGUUGCUUCAGCAUGCCCUUGGGCAGGUAUCCAAAACUGAUCCCUCACCGAAGAGAGAGAUGCCUACUAUGAUUCUCUUCAAUGUGGUGUUUGCACUGAGGGCCAACGCAGAUCCGUCCGUGAUAAAUUGCUUACACAACCUCUCCCGAAGAAUCGCCAUAGUCCUGCAGCACGAGGAGCGUCGCUGCCAAUACCUGACCAGGGAGGCCAAGCUGAUCCUGGCUAUUCAGGAUGAAGUGUCUGCCAUGUCAGAAAGCACAGAAGGACCACAGUCACCUUUUCAUCACAUCCUACCCAAGUGCAAACUGGCCAGAGAUCUUAAAGAGAUGUAUGACAGUCUCUGCACCACAGGGGUGGUCCGUUUACAUAUCAACAACUGGCUGGAAGUGAGUUUCUGCCUGCCUCAUAAAAUCCAUUAUGUUGCCACAAACUUUAUACCCCCUGAAGCAAUUGAGAGAAGCCUGAAAUCCAUCAGGCCUUACCAUGCCUUAUUACUUUUAAAUGAUGAGAAGUCAUUGCUUAAUGAGCUCCCAUUGGACUGCUCUCCUGCCCUGGUGAGAGUAAUUAAAACUACCUCUGCUGUGAAGAAUUUGCAGCAACUGGCUCAAGAUGCUGACUUGGCAUUGCUGCAGGUUUUCCAGCUUGCUGCACAUCUUGUCUACUGGGGCAAAGCAAUUAUUAUUUAUCCGCUGUGUGAAAACAACGUCUACAUGCUUUCUCCAAACGCCAGUGUCUGUCUCUAUUCUCCAUUAGCAGAUGCAUUUGCUUGUCAAUUCCGGGGCCACAACCUGCCGACAAUGCUUUCCAAGUUCUCCCUCCCAGUGUCACUCUCAGAGUUCAAGAAUCCACUUGCGCCGCCCGUUCAGGAGACUCAGCUCAUUCAGAUGGUGAUAUGGAUGCUCCAACAUCGGCUUCUUAUUCAGCUUCACACGUACGUCUGUCUGAUGGUGCCACCAAACGAGGAGGAUUUCCGAGCGCAAGAUGAAGACAUGCCCUUCACUGCCAGAGUCGGAGGCCGAAGUUUAAGCACCCCCAAUGCUCUCAGCUUUGGUUCGCCAACUAGCAGUGACGACAUGACUCUGACAAGCCCUAGCAUGGAUAAUUCCAGUGCCGAGUUGAUACCUGGUGGGGACUCACCCCUAAAUAAAAGGAUGACGGAGAAUCUCCUGGCAAGCUUGUUGGAACACGAGCGGGAAGCGAUCCUUAAUGUCCCUGCUGCCCAAAAUCCAGAAGAUCUUCGCAUGUUUGCAAGGCUGCUGCACUAUUUCCGAGGCCGACACCAUUUGGAGGAGAUCAUGUACAACGAGAACAUGCGUCGCUCCCAGCUGCUGAUGCUGUUUGACAAAUUCCGCAGCGUGCUGGUGGUGACUAGCCACGAGGACCCCGUGAUUUCAGUAUUUCAGUCCCUCUUAAAAUGACUCUACUGGCAAAGGAAGAGACACUGAAAACUAAAGGAGGUGAAUUCAAUUCCUUCUUGCCAUGUGACAUAUAGCAGGUUUUUCGCUCCGUGCCUCCAUUUCCCAUCUGCUCCCUGUGGGAACAGCCGAGGCCGGUGUGUGCGAGUUCGGCUGCAGGACAGCAUGGAUUCCUGCUGCCCCACGUUCGCCGCACAGGGGCUGCUGGUUCACGGCCCUUGCCAGGGCUGGCGGGAAAGGCCAAGAAGAUUUCCACCUGGCAGCACUGAGGACAAAGCUCUGGCCAUUGCCUCUCAUCCUGUCUGACAGCAGCCUGGCUCUGCCCCCUCCCACGAGGCAGCUGUAGCCAACAGUAAGAUCCCCUUUGCCUCCUCCCAGCUCUGCCCCUUCCAGCCAGCCCUGCUGCCAUCUGCUCUAUUGACUGCUUCCCUGCAGCAACCAAGGGGCCGGGGCUGAGGGGAGCAGCACCGCACGUCAGCGCUGGGAACCUUCUCCACUCAUCUCCCUUAAUUAGGCCUAGAUCCGCUCCAAGGGAGAAAGUGGCCUCGGUUCUGGCUGGGAGACCCCAUGCAGUCUGCCCCACAAAUAAAAUUCUACCUUGCCCCA